UACGAAGGGGGGCUAGCGUUGCUCGGAAUCACUGGGCGUAAAGCGCACGUAGGCGGACUCUUAAGUCGGUGGUGAAAUCCUGGAGCUCAACUCCAGAACUGCCUUCGAUACUGAGAGUCUCGAGUCCGGGAGAGGUGAGUGGAACUGCGAGUGUAGAGGUGAAAUUCGUAGAUAUUCGCAAGAACACCAGUGGCGAAGGCGGCUCACUGGCCCGGAACUGACGCUGAGGUGCGAAAGCGUGGGGAGCAAACAGGG
rnacentral:rRNA from 1 species